rnacentral:rRNA from 1 species
AAUCGUGCGCAAUGGGCGAAAGCCUGACGCACCCAUGCCGCGUGAAUGAUGAAGGUCUUAGGAUUGUUAAAUUCUUUCACCGGGGACGAUAAUGACGGUACCCGGAGAACAAGCCUCUGCUAACUUCGUGCCAGCAGCCGCGGUAAUACGAAGGGGGCUAGCGUUGCUCGGAAUUACUGGGCGUAAAGGGCGCGUAGGCGGACAUUUAAGUCAAGGGUGAAAUCCCAGGGGUAAACUCUGGAACUGACUUUGAUUCUGGGUGUCUUGAGUGUGAGAGAGGUAUGUGGAACUCCGAGUGUAGAGGUGAAAUUCGUAGAUAUUCGGAAGAACACCAGUGGCGAAGGCGACAUACUGGCUCAUUACUGACGCUGAGGCGCGAAAGCGUGGGGAGCAAACA